CCUUCGGGGUACACGAGCGGCGAACGGGUGAGUAACACGUGGGUAACCUGCCCUGCACUUUGGGAUAACCUCGGGAAACCGGGGCUAAUACCGGAUAUGACAUGCCAUCGCAUGGUGGUGUGUGGAAAGUUCCGGCGGUGUGGGAUGGGCCCGCGGCCUAUCAGCUUGUUGGUGGGGUGAUGGCCUACCAAGGCGACGACGGGUAGCCGGCCUGAGAGGGCGACCGGCCACACUGGGACUGAGACACGGCCCAGACUCCUACGGGAGGCAGCAGUGGGGAAUAUUGCGCAAUGGGCGAAAGCCUGACGCAUCGACGCCUCGUGAGGGAUGACUGCCUUCGGGUUUGUAAACCU
rnacentral:rRNA from 1 species